GUUUUUACCAAAGCUCAAAGGAAAUUAUUAUUAUUAUCUUAUAUAUAAAUAAAUCCCUAUUUCCUUCAGCGUUUACUCGACUCCUGCCAAAUUCCAUCGAAGCAAGCUCUUACCGACAUUUACAUCCAGGAAAUAUGAGUAGCCGUGCGAGCAGAAUUCUCUAUGUUGGGAAUCUCCCAGGCGAUAUUCGUGAGAGGGAAGUGGAGGAUUUGUUUUACAAGUAUGGACCUAUAUCCCAUGUUGACCUAAAGAUCCCACCAAGACCCCCUGGUUAUGCAUUCGUUGAGUUUGAAGAGGCUCGGGAUGCGGAAGAUGCAAUUCGCGGUCGUGAUGGUUAUGAUUUUGAUGGGCAUCGUUUACGGGUGGAACUGGCUCAUGGUGGGCGUGGGCAUUCAUCAUCAGAUCGUCAUGGUAGUCAUGGCAGUCAUGGCAGCAGCAGUCGCAAUGGGCGUGGUGGAGUUUCCCGGCGAUCUGAUUAUCGUGUGAUGGUGACUGGGCUACCCUCUUCUGCUUCAUGGCAAGACCUUAAGGACCAUAUGCGUCGAGCUGGAGAUGUCUGCUUCUCUCAAGUCUUUCGGGAUGGUAAUGGCACAACAGGUGUUGUGGAUUAUGCAAACUAUGACGACAUGAAGUAUGCAAUCAAGAAACUUAACAACUCUGAGUUUCGAAAUGCAUUUUCUCGGGCAGAUGUUCGUGUAAAGGAAUAUGAUUCUAAGAGUAGUCCUGGCCAUCCUAGAGGUCGAAGUGAGAGUCGCAGUCGCAGCAGGGAUCGAAGUUAUAGUCGGAGCAGGAGCCUGAGCAAGUCUCCAAAAGCAAAAGCAAAAGCAAAAUCUAUGCGUUCCUCACCUGCUAAGUCUAGGUCAAGGUCUGCUUCUUCUCGCUCUCGCUCUGGGUCAAGGCGACGCUCUCUGUCAAGAUAUGGAUUUAUGGAGCGAACUGGGGAUUGGAUAAUAGUUUCUUGAUGGAAUAUGGUUCAGUUGCGUGCAUCUUUUUUGGUUGUGGAGAUUGGAACAAGGAGAAUAUGGAUUGCAUUUUAGAGCUGGCAUACAAUUGACUAAUCGCCAUUGGAUCUGGGAGUCACCAGCAAUGAGCCGUAGGAACUAUUUCAUUACCAUUUUCUGCUCCAACAACUGUGAAGCUAGUUGGACAUGCUAUCUGGAUUGCUGUGGAUUUUGAUCUACUCUAGGGAAGCAUGCUCCUGUCUGUUUGUCAUGGCUCAAAAUAUCUUGUGAUUCAUCUUAUCAAGCCUUUUCUUAAUUAACCUAAUUAAGUUAUUUAUGCGUGAAUUUAGGAUUAUUUAUGCAAAAAUCUACAAAUUUGGCCAGAUCUUUUCUACGUUGACUUGCUAAAUACUUUAUGGCUUUUCUGACGUGCAAGAGGCGUCAAGGCUCUUGGAUGAAAGUUGUUAACGGGAACAUGCGGAUUUUAAACGUGGGUUAUUUCUGGAACUUUUGCAGAUCUCCGUCAAGAUCCAAAUCUCCGCUGCCAUCUAAACGCGCGAGUACAAGCCCCAAGAAACGUGUGAGUAAAAGCCCCAAGAAACGCAGUCUAAGCAAGAGCCCAAGCAGGAGCAGGAGCAGGAGUUUAUCGCGUUGAGAUUUGAUCGUGGCUUCUUUGUUUCCUAUUCAGGAAGUGGAAACUGGACAAGAAUCGUUAUGUUUUGUUAUCCUGAUAAAUUAUUAUUGAGCAGUGUUAGUGAACCGUUGUGUUUACUGGAGAAUGACAGAUGGGUUUGGCACAGUAAUUGUGUCUUAAAUACUUUGUUUUAUUUGUUGUGGUGGACACAUUUUAUGCAUAAUUUGGAUUCAUAGCGGAACUGAGGUUAGCUCAUCACAUUGACUAUUGUGUGGCUGAUUUUAUCAUCUCUGUUUUAUGCUUUUUCUGAGGA